CCUUGGAUGGGGAAUAACAGCUGGAAACAGCUGCUAAUACCGCAUGAUGCAGUUGAGUCGCAUGGCUCUGACUGCCAAAGAUUUAUCGCUCUGAGAUGGACUCGCGUCUGAUUAGCUAGUUGGUGGGGCAACGGCCCACCAAGGCGACGAUCAGUAGCCGGACUGAGAGGUUGGCCGGCCACAUUGGGACUGAGACACGGCCCAGACUCCUACGGAAGGCAGCAG
rnacentral:rRNA from 1 species